GCGAACGUGUUGUAAUGGUAAACAAGUUCCUCUUAAGAAGGAGUGGGUGAAAACCCGUAAGAGUUCAAGUCUCUUUGUUCGUA
rfam:Leucoagaricus sp. SymC.cos contig33880, whole genome shotgun sequence.